UGGGGAAUUUUGGACAAUGGGCGAAAGCCUGAUCCAGCAAUGCCGCGUGUGUGAAGAAGGCCUUCGGGUUGUAAAGCACUUUUGUCCGGAAAGAAAUCCUCUGGGUUAAUACCUCGGGGGGAUGACGGUACCGGAAGAAUAAGCACCGGCUAACUACGUGCCAGCAGCCGCGGUAAUACGUAGGGUGCAAGCGUUAAUCGGAAUUACUGGGCGUAAAGCGUGCGCAGGCGGUUUUGUAAGACGGAUGUGAAAUCCCCGGGCUUAACCUGGGAACUGCAUUCGUGACUGCAAGGCUAGAGUAUGGCAGAGGGGGGUAGAAUUCCACGUGUAGCAGUGAAAUGCGUAGAGAUGUGGAGGAAUACCGAUGGCGAAGGCAGCCCCCUGGGCCAAUACUGACGCUCAUGCACGAAAGCGUGGGGAGCAAACAGGAUUAGAUACCCUGGUAGUCCACGCCCUAAAACGAUGUCAACUAGUUGUUGGGGAUUCAUUUCCUUAGUAACGUAGCUAACGCGUGAAGUUGACCGCCUGGGGAGUACGGUCGCAAGAUU
rnacentral:rRNA from 1 species